rnacentral:rRNA from 1 species
CAGUCGCCGCGGGAAUACGGAGGGUGCGAGCGUUAAUCGGAAUUACUGGGCGUAAAGCGUACGCAGGCGGUUUGUUAAGUCAGAUGUGAAAUCCCCGAGCUUAACUCGGGAACUGCAUUUGAAACUGGCAGGCUAGAGUCUCGUAGAGGGGGGUAGAAUUCCAGGUGUAGCGGUGAAAUGCGUAGAGAUCUGGAGGAAUACCGGUGGCGAAGGCGGCCCCCUGGACGAAGACUGACGCUCAGGUACGAAAGCGUGGGGAGCAAACAGGAUUAGAUACCCCGGUAGUCCCUGUCUCUUAUAC